rnacentral:rRNA from 1 species
AGGACGAACGCUGGCGGCGUGCUUAACACAUGCAAGUCGAGCGGUAAGGCCCUUCGGGGUACACGAGCGGCGAACGGGUGAGUAACACGUGGGUAACCUGCCCUGUACUGUGGGAUAAGCCUGGGAAACUGGGUCUAAUACCGCAUAUGACUGCAUCCUGCAUGGGGUGUGGUGGAAAGUUCUGGCGGUACAGGAUGGGCCCGCGGCCUAUCAGCUUGUUGGUGGGGUGAUGGCCUACCAAGGCGACGACGGGUAGCCGGCCUGAGAGGGCGACCGGCCACACUGGGACUGAGACACGGCCCAGACUCCUACGGGAGGCAGCAGUGGGGAAUCUUGCGCAAUGGGCGAAAGCCUGACGCAGCGACGCCGCGUGAGGGAUGACGGCCUUCGGGUUGUAAACCUCUUUCGACCGGGACGAAGCGUGAGUGACGGUACCGGUAGAAGAAGCACCGGCUAACUACGCGCCAGCAGCCGC